CUCAUGACCUCUGCGCAUGUUCGAACUUCACGUGCUCCGCCUCCGCUUGUGCACAGGAGAAGCCGUUGAAUCCCGGAAGAUUCCAAACCAGACGGUCAUGGCAGUGUCUUCUUUCUGUGUGUCCUGGAUGCUUUGCCAAUUUCCAGAUAAGGUGGAUGGGAAGUGGAGAUGAGGCAGAUGAGAUGAUGUGAGAGGACAAUAGCAAAUCAAAGGGGAGAAAGAGAACAUUUGUAAACCCACACAACAGAGCCCUGUGAUGCUGCAUUAGCAGACAGUUGGAAAGAAACAGACUCCGUGAGGACGGAGGCCAGAUGUCCUUCAGCCCAGCUAGAGAACACCAGGAUGAAUUCCUCUGACUUGGUAUCUGACCUUGUGCUAGUGCGGCGGGCCCUGAGUUUCUUCUGAUGCUGAACAGUGCCCGGCGCGUGUAGAUGACACAGACUCCCUCAUGUUCCUCAGAUCUGGAUCUAGUUGAGAUCCUCUGGGACGCUGUGAAGUAAACACCAUCUCAGACCAUCCAGGAGCUCGUAGAUGCUCAGAUGAUGUUGGGGGUGGAUGCAUCUUGUGGGCACCGUACACAGUACUGAGCCAUAUUAUAAAUCAUGUGAAAUCACUGUGACUUCAGUGUUAAACUUUGAAUGCAGCUCUUAAAAGGUUGUUUUUCAGUUUUCAUUGAUGUCAUUUUCGGUUCUGCCUUUUUUAUAGCAUAUUUUAGUGCUGUUUAAGUUCUGUUUUAAAACAGAGUCUGUUAGCUCUACUUUUGGUCACUCAUGCACAUUUCAAGGUAUUUUACUUACCUCUUGGCCUUUUAAAGUUAAUUUAGGAAUAGUGCCUGGGACUGUAAAUAUAAUAAUGUGACUUUUUCUUCAUAAUUAUUUGAUAGUUCUCCAUAAAAUAAAUGAAUUGAGCGGUGCCUACUUCAGUAAAGUGCAUUGUCAAGAAUAGGUGAUCUAUAUAAAAACCAGUGCUAAAAAUAAGAUCUCAGUCUGACUCUGUCUCUGGAGACAACUUAGAACUAUGUUGCCAAAUAAAACUGAUUUUGAUUGGA